rnacentral:rRNA from 1 species
ACUCAAAGGAAUUGACGGGGGCCCGCACAAGCAGUGGAUUAUGUGGUUUAAUUCGAAGCAACGCGAAGAACCUUACCAGGGCUUGACAUCCAACUAACGAAGCAGAGAUGCAUUAGGUGCCCUUCGGGGAAAGUUGAGACAGGUGGUGCAUGGUUGUCGUCAGCUCGUGUCGUGAGAUGUUGGGUUAAGUCCCGCAACGAGCGCAACCCCUAUUGUUAGUUGCUACGCAAGAGCACUCUAGCGAGACUGCCGUUGACAAAACGGAGGAAGGUGGGGACGACGUCAAAUCAUCAUGCCCCUUAUGUCCUGGGCUACACACGUAAUACAAUGGCGUUUAACAGAGGGAAGCUAAGCCGCGAGGUGGAGCAAAUCCCUAAAAGGCGUCUCAGUUCGGAUUGUAGGCUGCAACUCGCCUGCAUGAAGUCGGAAUUGCUAGUAAUCGCGGAUCAGCACGCCGCGGUGAAUACGUUCCCGGGCCUUGUACACACCGCCCGU